rnacentral:rRNA from 1 species
GGGGCAGCGGUGGUGAAGGCUUGCCUUUACCAGCCGGCGACCGGCGCACGGGUGAGUAACACGUAUGCAACCUGCCUGCCACAGCCGGAUAAUCGGGAGAAAUUCCGUCUAAUACGGCAUAAUGCACCUAUGGGACAUCCUGUUGGUGCCAAAGGUUGAUUCCGGUGGCGGAUGGGCAUGCGUCGCAUUAGUUAGUUGGCGGUGUAACGGACCACCAAGACGACGAUGCGUAGGGGUUCUGAGAGGAAGGUCCCCCACACUGGUACUGAGACACGGACCAGACUCCUACGGGAGGCAGCAGUGAGGAAUAUUGGUCAAUGGGCGGGAGCCUGAACCAGCCAAGUCGCGUGAGGGAUGACGGCCCUAUGGGUUGUAAACCUCUUUUGCCGGGGAGCAAAGUGCCGCACGUGUGCGGUUUGGAGAGUACCCGGAGAAAAAGCAUCGGCUAACUCCGUGCCAGCAGCCGCGGUAAUACGGAGGAUGCGAGCGUUAUCCGGAUUUAUUGGGUUUAAAGGGUGCGUAGGCGGACGCUUAAGUCAGCGGUAAAAUUGCGGGGCUCAACCUCGUCGAGCCGUUGAAACUGGGUGCCUUGAGUGGGCGAGAAGUACGCGGAAUGCGUGGUGUAGCGGUGAAAUGCAUAGAUAUCACGAAGAACUCCGAUUGCGAAGGCAGCGUACCGGCGCCCAACUGACGCUGAAGCACGAAGGCGUGGGUAUCGAACAGGAUUAGAUACCCUGGUAGUCCACGCAGUAAACGAUGAAUGCUAGUUGUCCGGGGCGAUUGAGUUCUGGGUGACACAGCGAAAGCGUUAAGCAUUCCACCUGGGGAGUACGCCGGCAACGGUGAAACUCAAAGGAAUUGACGGGGGCCCGCACAAGCGGAGGAACAUGUGGUUUAAUUCGAUGAUGCGCGAGGAACCUUACCCGGGCUCAAACGCAGGAGGGAUGUUUUUGAAAGGAGGCAGCCAGCAAUGGUCUCCUGCGAGGUGCUGCAUGGUUGUCGUCAGCUCGUGCCGUGAGGUGUCGGCUUAAGUGCCAUAACGAGCGCAACCCCUACCUACAGUUGCCAUCGCGUGAUGGCGGGCACUCUGUGGGGACUGCCUGCGCAAGCAGUGAGGAAGGCGGGGAUGACGUCAAAUCAGCACGGCCCUUACGUCCGGGGCGACACACGUGUUACAAUGGCAGGUACAGCGGGAAGCCACCCGGCGACGGGGCGCGGAACCCGAAAACCUGUCUCAGUUCGGAUUGGAGUCUGCAACCCGACUCCAUGAAGCUGGAUUCGCUAGUAAUC